AUGUAGCAACGCUAUUUAAAGCUCAUGUUUUGAACCCAGGAGGAUCCGAGUCAGAUGAUACUAAACUUUCCUGUGGCACAUUGAGGGCGUUGGGAUACCUUGAGUUGGCAAUUCAGUGCAAAGAUGGCAGGAAACUGUGAUCUGACUCGGCGCACACGUUUUCCCGAGACAAAGAAAUGUUGUUUUCCCUUACGGAUUGCCAUUUUUAGUUCUUUUUUUUUUUUUUUUCCUUUUAUGGUAAUUCUGGAUAAUGAUUUUGAACCUGAUUUGGGCUAGAUUUUUGCGUUGAUUACUUCUUUCCUUACUAUUUAAUUUUGGCAUGAUUAUUAAAAUUUGCUACUUUUGGAUAA